rnacentral:rRNA from 1 species
GACGAACGCUGGCGGCGUGCCUAAUACAUGCAAGUCGAACGAGAGCGCCCGGUGCUUGCACUGGUCAAUCUAGUGGCGAACGGGUGAGUAACACGUGGGUAACCUGCCCAUCAGAGGGGGAUAACAUUCGGAAACGGAUGCUAAAACCGCAUAGGUCUUCGAACCGCAUGGUUUGAAGAGGAAAAGAGGCGCAAGCUUCUGCUGAUGGAUGGACCCGCGGUGCAUUAGCUAGUUGGUGAGGUAACGGCUCACCAAGACCGUGAUGCAUAGCCGACCUGAGAGGGUGAUCGGCCACAUUGGGACUGAGACACGGCCCAAACUCCUACGGGAGGCAGCAGUAGGGAAUCUUCCGCAAUGGACGCAAGUCUGACGGAGCAACGCCGCGUGAGUGAAGAAGGUUUUCGGAUCGUAAAACUCUGUUGUUAGAGAAGAAUAAGUGCUAGAGUAACUGUUAGCGCCUUGACGGUAUCUAACCAGAAAGCCACGGCUAACUACGUG